rnacentral:rRNA from 1 species
UACGUAGGGUGCAAGCGUUGUCCGGAAUUAUUGGGCGUAAAGAGCUCGUAGGCGGUUUGUCGCGUCGGGAGUGAAAUCCACUGGCUUAACUGGUGGCUUGCUUUCGAUACGGGCAGACUGGAGGUAUGCAGGGGAGAACGGAAUUCCUGGUGUAGCGGUGAAAUGCGCAGAUAUCAGGAGGAACACCGGUGGCGAAGGCGGUUCUCUGGGCAUGUCCUGACGCUGAGGAGCGAAAGUGUGGGGAGCGAACAGG